AACAGUCUCCCGAGAAGCAGAAACCCAAAAACAAAGAAAGGGCUUAAGCAAAAAAAAAAAAGCGACGAGUACGACAACGAGAAAAGAGGAAGAAGAAGAAGAAAAUGGUGUCGUACAUGAGCUUGUUGCUGUACGGAGUGGGAGGGAUAGUGGUGGCGGGGAUGGCGUUGCUGGUGGCGUUUCAAGAGAAGCUCGUUUACGUUCCGGUUUUACCGGGUCUAACCAAGUCUUACCCGAUAACACCGGCCCGGCUCCGACUCAUCUACGAGGACGUUUGGCUCCGAUCCUCCGAUGGAGUCCGACUCCAUGCUUGGUUCAUCAAGCUCUUGCCUGACUGUCGAGGUCCAACCAUCCUGUUUUUCCAAGAGAAUGCUGGAAAUAUUGCUCAUCGUCUGGAAAUGGUUCGCAUAAUGUUACAGAGGUUGCAAUGCAAUGUCUUCAUGCUUUCAUAUCGAGGUUAUGGAGCAAGUGAUGGUUAUCCUUCUCAGCAUGGAAUUAUAAAUGAUGCUCAGGCUGCAUUGGAUCAUCUCUCUCAGCGGACUGAUAUUGACACAGAUAGAAUAAUAGUCUUUGGAAGAUCACUUGGGGGUGCUGUUGGAGCUGUACUCACCAAAAACAAUCCUGAUAAGGUUGCUGCACUGAUACUGGAAAACACUUUCACAUCUAUUUUGGACAUGGCUGGAGUAUUAUUGCCUUUCCUGAAGUGGUUUAUUGGAGGCCCUGGUACAAAAGGUCCUAAAAUUCUUAAUUUUCUUGUCCGCUCUCCAUGGAGCACCAUUGAUAUCAUUGGCCAGGUCAAGCAGCCUAUCCUUUUUCUUUCUGGUUUGCAAGAUGAGAUGGUUCCCUCAUCCCACAUGCAAAUGCUGUAUGCUAAAGCAGCAGCUCAUAACAGGCAAUGCCUCUUUGUAGAAUUCCCUACUGGCAUGCACAUGGACACUUGGCUAGCUGGUGGUGACCACUACUGGAGAACAAUUCGGCAGUUCUUUGAACAACAUGUGCCAGAGAAAAAGCAAAAUGAAUCCCCAAAUGGCUAUGCCCAACUAAGAAACAAACCAACCUAGGCUGGAUAAUCCUGCCAAAUCUUCGUCAAGCCUAUUCCAAAGUCCAUCUGGUGGACAGUCAUGAAAGUGGAUUCGAAAAGAUUUCGAGAGGAGGUGACUGGCUGGCAUGUAAGCUUUUGAGAAUUUAUUGUUUGGCUCACACCCUGGAUCUCAAACUUUGUGCCUUUUCUUUUGAAGCUGCAGCUGUUAGAAGCUCUUUAUAACCUGCUGCCUGCUCCCCUUGAUCUUUCUCUCCAAGAGUUUUUUGCUGGCAUACAAACAUAAGCUGAUCAAAAUGAUAAAGAAAAGGAAGCUGGAUGCCCCUUCAGUAUACCGUAUGACUUUGACAAACACACAAAAUACCAUAUUAAUUCUGACUGGUUCUCAUUGUAUGAAAUAAGAAGUCUCUUGAAAAAGGAAAUGCACAUGUAUGGUUGCUGCUGAUUUCCUGAACAAUAUGUAUCUCUAUUUUCCCAUGGGAGAGUAGAUGUUUCAGCAAUUGUUUGACAAUUUAGGUUUUUUUUUUGCAACUCUUCUAUUGUCUUAAUGGUAGUUUUGGACGGUUGGUAAGUCUUUGUAUGGAAUGUGGUCGAAACCAGAAACCUCUUCUUCGACUUU